CAGCCUCUGAUCCUUCCAGCAGAGGCAAUUAUUUAAUGUAAUGAGAAGAAUCCAAGCACUGGAACUUUUCAGAGACAUGUAAUGUUUUAUGACAGACCAAAACUGUGUAAUGAAAAAGCUUGAUUUUGUGUAUGGGAAGAUACUUAGAAAUAAACGUGUACUGGUGCCUGGGAGGCUGAGGCAGAGGAGGACUGGAGCCAUCUCCCAGCUCAACAUUCCUCCCAGCCAUCCUCCCCCAACAGGACAUCCCUUCUCACCCAUCCCACCAUCCCCAUCAGCAGGACGCAGCCCUGGCAGUGGCACUGCAGGGAUGCAGGGAUGGUAGGACAGCUCACCAGCCAGGCUGACCCCCCUGUGCCCUCCUCACAGACAGCCAGGGUUCAGCACAGAAACAUGCAGAUUCUGGCUUUUAUUUGAGGCAGUGCAGGCACCACGAGGCCUGGGGAAGCUGGGCAGAGCUGUAGCCUGUGGAGAUGGGACAGCAGAAGUGAAGAUGCUGACUUGCUGCCUUCCUCACUCGAGCAGAGCUCUGCGUGCAGCGAUUCAGGCCAGGCUGCACUCCCUGCUCUCCCCAGUGUCCUGGAGGAAUAUGGUCCAGAAUGCCUUCAGCAAGAGCCUCUAAUCUGGAAGAGUCAUUUCUCCCUCUGCCUCUCACAGUACAGGAGCAAUGCAGUGGCUGCUGGCUGGAAAAUUAGCCCAGGGAACUCUCUCCUCUGUCUGUCUCUCACCUCAUUAGACUAGUGAGAAAAUGUAAUUGUAAGUCUCCCAG